AUCUUGAUGAUGCUGCAU
rnacentral:siRNA from 1 species